rnacentral:rRNA from 1 species
UAAGGAAUAUUGCUCAAUGGCCGAAAGGCUGAAGCAGCAACGCCGCGUGAAGGAUGAAGGGAUUUUUCUUGUAAACUUCUGUAAUGAGGGAAAAAUAUCUCCGAUUUAUCGGAGGAAGAUGGUACCUCAGAAGUAAGCCCCGGCUAACUACGUGCCAGCAGCCGCGGUAAUACGUAGGGGGCAAGCGUUGUCCGGAUUUACUGGGUAUAAAGGGUGCUCAGGCGGAUUUGUAAGUCAGUGGUGAAAUCUCACAGCUCAACUGUGAAACUGCCUCUGAUACUGCAAGUCUAGAGUUCAGAAGAGGAUGAUGGAAUAUCUGGUGUAGCAGUGAAAUGCGUAGAUAUCAGAUAGAACACCAAUGGCGAAGGCAGUCAUCUGGUCUGUAACUGACGCUAAAGCACGAAAGCGUGGGUAGCAAACAGG